UCUAAUGUUUUCAAGGUUUAUUUAUGUAUGGUAUGGCAUAUGUCAACAAAUUCAGUCAUUCCUCUUUAUGAAAAACAUUUAAUUGUGGUAAAUACACAUAACACAAAAUGUACCAUCUUAUCCAUUUUUAAGUGUACACUUCAGUAGGGUUAAGUACGUUCACAUUGUUGUUCAACCAAUCUCCAGAACUCUUUUCAUCUUGCAAAACUGACACUCUGUACCUAGUAAAUAACUCCUCAUUCCUCCUUUCCCUCAGUGCCUGUCAACCAUGAUUCUACUGUCUCAAUGAUUUAUUCUAGGUCCUUGUAUAAGUGGAAUCAUACAAGUUUGUCUUUAUGUGACUGGCUUAUUUCACUUAGCAUAAUCUCCUCUAGGUUCCUCCAUGUCGUAGCAUGUGUUAGAAUUUCCUUCCUUUUUAAGGUUACAUAUUUCAUUAUG